AUUGAACGCUGGCGGCAUGCUUUACACAUGCAAGUCGAACGGCAGCGCGGGGCAACCUGGCGGCGAGUGGCGAACGGGUGAGUAAUAUAUCGGAACGUACCCAAGAGUGGGGGAUAACGUAGCGAAAGUUACGCUAAUACCGCAUACGAUCUAUGGAUGAAAGCAGGGGACCGCAAGGCCUUGUGCUCCUGGAGCGGCCGAUAUCUGAUUAGCUAGNGGUGAGGUAAAGGCUCACCAAGGCGACGAUCAGUAGCUGGUCUGAGAGGACGACCAGCCACACUGGGACUGAGACACGGCCCAGACUCCUACGGGAGGCAGCAGUGGGGAAUUUUGGACAAUGGGCGAAAGCCUGAUCCAGCAAUGCCGCGUGAGUGAAGAAGGCCUCGG
rnacentral:rRNA from 1 species